CAAAGGAGAGGAAUGAAUAUGAAAAGAGAGGUUGAAUUGGCCUAAUAGUGGCGUGCUGGGAGCAAUUCAUUGAACUGUAGAGCUGGAAGAGACAAAGGGCAUCAAGGAAGAGAACCAAUGACACAUGCAAGCAAGAUGGGAGUCUGGAGAGCUUUGGCCUAAGUCACGAGCACUCAGCCCUUUUCUCUUUGUAAGGGCAACUGGGUCAUAUCUGCCAGCUUGGAGCUACUCUGUCCACAACCCUAAAAUCUAACACCUAGAACAGUAAAUGCACUUAAGCAUGUCA